GUUUCAUCUCCAUGAACUCAUUAAUUUGGAAAACAUUUAAGGAGCCAGAUAGUACAGGCAUAAAAUUAUCUUGCAUUGCAUAAAAUAGCAGAAGUUUCCAACCAUCAUGUGGACAGAGUAAACUGAUAACAAAUAUCAGCUAGUGAUGAAUCUGACAGUGACAAGAAGACAAGUGGUGAUUGAGAGACUGAGCGGGGAGCCAUGCUGGGGCAUGCUCAGAAAAAGGACUCGGACAUUUCUGUUGAAUGAAUAACAGGAGCCAAUCUGUAACGAUGUGGGGAGAGGACUCCAGAUGGAAGACAUAGGGCAAAGAACCUGUGGGGGAGAGAAUGUAACUUGGCAAAGAAAAAGCCAGUGUGGCUGGAGCAGAGUGAGAACGUGGUGGAUAGUAAAAAAUCAAACCAGAGGCUACGAUAUGCUUUCUUCAUCUCUACGGCCUGUGGCUACCUGCCUUGGAAGUCCAGAGAGAGGCCAGGCAUGACCCAGAACUUGAAGCUGAGUGAGCAGCAGCCUCCUGGGCUUCGGUAAGUGGCAUGGUUAAACAAGACAUCAAUGAUGGACUGGAUAAAGAAAAUGUGGCACAUAUAUACUAUGGAAUACUAUGCAGCCAUAAAAAAGGGUAGCAUGACUGUGUUUGUUAGAGGACUCGCAGCUGCCUGGCCUCCCACUCCCUUGCAUGGCUGCCCUGCAUUCAUCGCUCCGUUUUCAGGACUUUCAUCCCUGCCUGUAACCUGCCCUGGCCUUUGGUCUCUUCCGGGAGGAGGCCACGGAAAUCUUGCCUGCCUUUUCAUCUACUUGGAGCAUAUUUACGUGGAAAAGGAACAGAAAUGUAAACAUGAUGGAAAGACUGAAUAAGACAAGGCACAGUUUGCUACAAAUAUUUUACAUUUAUUAUAAGAAUACAAUAAAGAGGUUCUGCAGACAUAUGGGUAACUGGUC
rnacentral:lncRNA from 13 species